rnacentral:rRNA from 1 species
GAUGCCUAAGACAUGCAAGUCGAACGAAGUGGCCCAAUGAAGAAUGCGAGCUUGCUCAAGUUUGGAUUGGAUUCCCACUAGUGGCGCAAGGGUGAGUAACACGUGGGUAAUCUGCCUUCGAGUCUGGAAUAACAGUUAGAAAUGAUUGCUAAUGCCGGAUAAUAUGGAGAACGAUACGUCAUUCGUUUAUUAAAAGGGGCCUUUAAAGCCUCGCUUGAAGAUGAGCCUGCGCCGUAUUAGCUAGUUGGUGGGGUAACGGCCUACCAAGGCAACGAUGCGUAGCCGACCUGAGAGGGUGAUCGGCCACACUGGGACUGAGACACGGCCCAGACUCCUACGGGAGACAGCAGUUAGGAAUAUUCGUCAAUGGGGGAAACCCUGAACGAGCAAUGCCGCGUGAAGGAUGAACCGGUCCUAUGGAUUGUAAACUUCUGUUGUUAGGGAAGAACGAGUUGUAUAGGAAAUGAUACAGCAGUGACGGUACCUUUCAAGAAAGCUCCGGCUAACUACGUGCCAGCAGCCGC